AAUAAGAGUAAUUUUACACUGUAUAUAUUCAACAUUUAACUAUUAUUUUAUUUAAUAUUUUUUUAUAAUUACUAUUUUUAUUGUUAUUUGAUGAUAAAACAGGAAUAAUAUUUUACGUGUGACUGAUUUUUUAAAUUUUUUAUAAAGUUUUUAAAUAAGACAGACAGUUAAAUGUUGAAUACGAAUAAU
rnacentral:pre_miRNA from 1 species